GACGAACGCUGGCGGCGUGCUUAACACAUGCAAGUCGAACGGAAAGGCCCUGCUUUUGUGGGGUGCUCGAGUGGCGAACGGGUGAGUAACACGUGAGUAACCUGCCCUUGACUUUGGGAUAACUUCAGGAAACUGGGGCUAAUACCGGAUAGGAGCUCCUGCUGCAUGGUGGGGGUUGGAAAGUUUCGGCGGUUGGGGAUGGACUCGCGGCUUAUCAGCUUGUUGGUGGGGUAGUGGCUUACCAAGGCUUUGACGGGUAGCCGGCCUGAGAGGGUGACCGGCCACAUUGGGACUGAGAUACGGCUCAGACUCCUACGGGAGGCAGCAGUGGGGAAUAUUGCACAAUGGGCGGAAGCCUGAUGCAGCAACGCCGCGUGCGGGAUGACGGUCUUCGGGUUGUAAACCGCUUUCGCCUGUGACGAAGCGUGAGUGACGGUAAUGGGUAAAGAAGCACCGGCUAACUACGUG
rnacentral:rRNA from 1 species